rnacentral:ribozyme from 13 species
UUUCUUCCUCUUUUGCUUCCAUUUUCUUUUCGUUCUCCUUACUUUCCUCCUUUUCUUUCCCCUUCGUUUCGUCAUCUUCAAUUUCCUCAAUAAAACCAGGAGAGAUGUC